rnacentral:rRNA from 1 species
UACGUAGGCAGCGAGCGUUGUUCGGAAUUACUGGGCGUAAAGAGUGUGUAGGCGGUGCUCUAAGUUCGGUGUGAAAUCUCCCGCUUAACUGGGAGGGUGCGCCGGAAACUGGAGUGCUCGAGCGUGGGGAGAGGAAAGCGGAAUUCCUGGUGUAGCGGUGAAAUGCGUAGAUAUCAGGAGGAACACCUGCGGUGUAGACGGCUUUUCUGG